rnacentral:rRNA from 1 species
UAGGGAAUUUUCCACAAUGGACGAAAGUCUGAUGGAGCAACGCCGCGUGCAGGAUGAAGGCCCUUGGGUCGUAAACUGCUUUUAUGAGUGAAGAUUUAGACGGUAACUCAAGAAUAAGGGACGGCUAACUACGUGCCAGCAGCCGCGGUAAUACGAAGGGGGCUAGCGUUGUUCGGAUUUACUGGGCGUAAAGCGCGUGUAGGCGGGUUGGAAAGUUGGGGGUGAAAUCCCGAGGCUCAACCUCGGAACUGCCUCCAAAACUUCCAGCCUGGACUCAAGUAGAGGCAAGUGGAAUUGCGAGUGUAGAGGUGAAAUUCGUAGAUAUUCGCAGGAACACCAGUGGCGAAGGCGACUUGCUGGACUUGUAGUGACGCUGAGACGCGAAAGCGUGGGGAGCAAACAGGAUUAGAUACCCACGUAGUCCCUGAGCGGGCUGGCAAGGCGCAU